CCUACGGGAGGCAGCAGUGGGGAAUAUUGCACAAUGGGGGAAACCCUGAUGCAGCGACGCCGCGUGAGUGAAGAAGUAUCUCGGUACGUAAAGCCCUAUUAGCAGGGAAGAAAAUGACGGUACCUGUAGAAGAAGCCCCGGGUAACUACGUGACAGAAGCCGUGGUAAUACGCAGGGAGCCAGCGUUAUCCGGAUUUACCGGGUGUUAAGGGAGCGUAUUCGGCGGGGCAAGUCUGGAGUGAAAGGCCGGGGCCGAAACCCGGGACCGCUCUGGAAACUGCCCGGCUGGAGUGCGGGAGAGGUAAGCGGAAUUCCUAGUGUAGCGGUGAAAUGCGUAGAUAUUAGGAGGAACACCGGCGGCGAAGGCAGCUUACUGGACCGUGACUGACGUUGAGGCUCGAAAGCGUGGGGAGCAAACAGGAUUAGAUACCCCUGUAGUC
rnacentral:rRNA from 1 species